AUUGAACGCUGGCGGCAGGCCUAACACAUGCAAGUCGAGCGAGCGGCGGACGGGUGAGUAAUGUCUGGGAAACUGCCUGAUGGAGGGGGAUAACUACUGGAAACGGUAGCUAAUACCGCAUACCAUCAGAUGUGCCCAGAUGGGAUUCGCUAGUAGGUGGGGUAAUGGCUCACCUAGGCGACGAGCCCUAGCUGGUCUGAGAGGAUGACCAGCCAAACUGGAGCUGAGACACGUUCCAGACGCCUUCGGGAGGCAGCAGUUGGGACGAUUCCAGAACGGCCGCAAGCCAGAGCCAGCCAUGCUGCGUGUGGGAAGAAGGCCUGUGGGUUGUAAAGCACUUUCAGCGGGUAGGGGUUACCCGCAGAAGAAGCACCGGCUGACUCCGUGCCAGCAGCCGCGGUAAUAC
rnacentral:rRNA from 1 species